rnacentral:rRNA from 1 species
GACGAACGCUGGCGGCGUGCCUAACACAUGCAAGUCGAGCGGAGACAUCGAGGAGCUUGCUCUGAGAUGUUUUAGCGGCGGGCGGGUGAGUAACGCGUGAGCAACCUUUCUCUCAGUGGGGAAUAACACACCGAAAGGUGUACUAAUACCGCAUGAGACCACAGUGCCGCAUGGUACAGGGGUCAAAGAUUUAUUGCUGAGAGGUGGGCUCGCGUCCGAUUAGAUAGUUGGUGAGGUAACGGCUCACCAAGUCGACGAUCGGUAGCCGACCUGAGAGGGUGAUCGGCCACAUUGGGACUGAGACACGGCCCAA